CAAUAGCGUAUAUUAAAGUUGUUGCAGUUAAAAAGCUCGUAGUUGGAUUUCUGGUGGGAGCGAUCGGUCUGGCGCUUAGCGCGAGUACUUGCAUCGUCUCCGGCCAUCCUUGGGGAGAGUCUGUCUGGCAUUAGGUUGUCGGGCAGAGGAUCCUCAUCGUUUACUGUGAAAAAAUUAGAGUGUUCAAAGCAGGCUUAUGCCGUUGAAUAUAUUAGCAUGGAAUAAUAGGAUAGGACUUUGGUACUAUUUUGUUGGUUUGCGCACCAAAGUAAUGAUUAAUAGGGACAGUUGGGGGUAUUCGUAUUCCGUUGUCAGAGGUGAAAUUCUUGGAUUUACGGAAGACGAACUACUGCGAAAGCAUUUACCAAGGAUGUUUUCAUUAA
rnacentral:rRNA from 1 species